rnacentral:tRNA from 1 species
GGUCCCUUAGCUCAGUUGGUUAGAGCAUCUGACUCAUAAUCAGGGGGUCGCAGGAUCAUGCCCUGCAGGGACCA